rnacentral:rRNA from 1 species
GACAGAGGGGGCAAGCGUUGUCCGGAUUGACUGGGCGUACAGCGCGCGCAGGCGGCACAGUAUGUGCCCGGUGACAGCCCACGGCUCAACCGUGGGUCGCCCGAGUACACAGCCGUGCUGGAGGCAGGGAGAGGGUCGUGGAAUGCCCGGUGGAGCGGUGAAAUGCGUAGAGAUCGGGCGGAACACCAGCGGCGAAGGCGGCGACCUGGCCCUGACCUGACGCUGAGGCGCGAGAGCGUGGGGAGCGAACGGGAUUAGAUACCCCGGUAGUCCACGCCGUAAACGAUGUGGAGCCGGUGUUGGGGGGUGAUUGCGCCCCGCAGUGCCCAAGCUUACGCGAUGACUCCACCGCCUGGGAACUACGGCCGCAAGGCUAAA